UACAGAGGUCUCAAGCGUUGUUCGGAUUCAUUGGGCGUAAAGAGCUCGUAGGCGGUUCGGCAAGUCGGAUGUGAAAUCUCCACGCUCAACGUGGAGGGGCCAUUCGAAACUGCCGUGACUCGAGUCCGGUAGGGGAGUGUGGAAUUCCCGGUGUAGCGGUGAAAUGCGCAGAUAUCGGGAGGAACACCAGUAGCGAAGGCGGCACUCUGGGCCGGUACUGACGCUGAGGAGCGAAAGCGUGGGGAGCGAACAGG
rnacentral:rRNA from 1 species